rnacentral:rRNA from 1 species
GUGCCAGCCGCCGCGGUAAAACGGAGGGUGCAAGCGUUGUUCGGAAUUACUGGGCGUAAAGCGCGUGCAGGUUGUUUUUUAAGUUUCGUGUGAAAUCCCAUGGCUUAACCAUGGAACGGCACGGAAAACUGGAAAACUUGAGUACGGGAGAAGAGGGCGGAAUUCCCAGUGUAGAGGUGAAAUUCGUAGAUAUUGGGAGGAACACCGGUGGCGAAAGCGGCUCUCUAGACCAAUACUGACACUCAUACGCGAGAGCAUGGGUAGCAAACAGGAUUAGAUACCCUCGUAGUCC